UGCAGUCGAGCGGAUGAGUGGAGCUUGCUCCAUGAUUCAGCGGCGGACGGGUGAGUAAUGCCUAGGAAUCUGCCUGGUAGUGGGGGACAACGUUUCGAAAGGAACGCUAAUACCGCAUACGUCCUACGGGAGAAAGUGGGGGAUCUUCGGACCUCGCGCUAUCAGAUGAGCCUAGGUCGGAUUAGCUAGUUGGUGAGGUAAAGGCUCACCAAGGCGACGAUCCGUAACUGGUCUGAGAGGAUGAUCAGUCACACUGGAACUGAGACACGGUCCAGACUCCUACGGGAGGCAGCAGUGGGGAAUAUUGGACAAUGGGCGAAAGCCUGAUCCAGCCAUGCCGCGUGUGUGAAGAAGGUCUUCGGAUUGUAAAGCACUUUAAGUUGGGAGGAAGGGCAGUAAGUUAAUACCUUGCUGUUUUGACGUUACCAACAGAAUAAGCACCGGCUAACUUCGUGCCAGCAGCCGCGGUAAUACGAAGGGUGCAAGCGUUAAUCGGAAUUACUGGGCGUAAAGCGCGCGUAGGUGGUUCGUUAAGUUGGAUGUGAAAGCCCCGGGCUCAACCUGGGAACUGCAUCCAAAACUGGCGAGCUAGAGUAUGGCAGAGGGUGGUGGAAUUUCCUGUGUAGCGGUGAAAUGCGUAGAUAUAGGAAGGAACACCAGUGGCGAAGGCGACCACCUGGGCUAAUACUGACACUGAGGUGCGAAAGCGUGGGGGAGCAAACAGGAUUAGAUACCCUGGUAGUCCACGCCGUAAAACGAUGUCGACUAGCCGUUGGGAUCCUUGAGAUCUUAGUGGCGCA
rnacentral:rRNA from 1 species